GUUGUUAUGUAAGUUUUCAUCUUUGACUAAUUCUAAACCACAUUCUAAUUCAAAACGAGUAGCAGUCGUUUGAUCCAAUCGAUCCAUUAACAUAUUAAAUAAAAUAAAAUCCCAGAACUUGACAGGGUAACCUAAAUUUUCCAAAACUGAGAUAUUUUCCAAAAAAGUAUCCACUAAUAAUCGUAAAGGAGCAGAGGUAUCUAGCUGAGGAAUUCGAACAGUUGAUUGAAUAGAGAGCCAAUAUAGGGCCUUCACCAAACCAUUGCCUUCACAAAACCACUGUGGAAGUUGUCGAAAUGGCGGAGAGCUUGUCCUUACAGGAUCAAAUAAAGGUUUUGGUAAAUGAAGUGAAAGCAAUAAAAGAAAAAAACCAAUAAGGUAAGCGAUGAACAGUAUUCAUUUACCUGGGAAGAAAUUCCACCAUUUGAUCCGGCCCAUCAAAACAUUUCCGCCAAUAAAUAGCUUAGACUUUUCGAAUAAAAAGCAUAUUUUUGUCGUUGGGACGAUGUUAUUGUAAAACAUAUUUUAUUUUUAUCAUUUUAUUAUAUUAUAUAUUUUUUUAUUUUAUAUUUUAAUAUAUGUAUUCUGAUUUAAAACAAAA